AUGGUGGAGUACUAUUUCAGUGAUAUAAACCUGGCCACCGCAGAAUAUUUGAUGAGAUUUAUUAGCAUGGAUCCUCAGGGAUAUGAUGAGUUGCAUAUCUAUACCUGGAUCUACCUUUUUUUGGGAAGACAGCCAAAGAAGAAGAAGAUCAAGGCUAUGUUCUGCUGGAUCAACAAGACUAUGAAGAGGAAGAACACGAGCAGGCACAGGUUGACCAACAAGGGCAUAUUUAGGUUGCUCUUGUGGAGGACGAGUCCUAGGAAUUCAUGGUUCAGGGCGAACCCAACAACGAUCGUUUGGUGCUGGUGCUGGUGCUGGUGCCCACACUUGACGAAAUGA
rnacentral:rRNA from 1 species